rnacentral:rRNA from 1 species
UACGUAGGGUGCGAGCGUUAAUCGGAAUUACUGGGCGUAAAGCGUGCGCAGGCGGUUUUGUAAGCCAGAUGUGAAAGCCCCGGGCUUAACCUGGGAAUGGCAUUUGGGACUGCAAGGCUUGAGUGCGGCAGAGGAGACUGGAAUUCCUGGUGUAGCAGUGAAAUGCGUAGAGAUGCGGAGGAACACCGAUGGCGAAGGCAGCCCCCUGGGCCAACACUGACGCUCAGGCACGAAAGCGUGGGGAGCAAACAGG